CUGGUUUGAUCCUGCCAGUAAUUAUAUGCUUGUCUGAAAGAUUAAGCCAUGCAUGUAUAAGUACACACCUUAAUACGGUGAGACCGCGAAUGGCUCAUUAAAUCAGCUAUUAUUUCUUAGAUCUUACACAUUUACUUGGAUAACUGUAGUAAUUCUAGAGCUAAUACAUGUCACUGUGCCACAACCGUAAGGUUGUGUGCGGAUUUAUUAGAACAAAACCAACCGGCUUCGGCCGUCUUUUGGUGACUCUGGAUAACUUACCUGAUCGCAUGGCCUUGCGCCGGCGACGUAUCUUUCAAGUGUCUGCCCUAUCAACUGACGUUGGUGAGGUAUUUGCUCACCCAUGGUGUUGACGGGUAACGGGGAAUCAGGGUUCGAUACCGGAGAGGGAGCCUUAGAAACGGCUACCACAUCUAAGGAAGGCAGCAGGCGCGCAAAUUACCCACUCUCAGAAUGAGGAGGUAGUGACCAUAAAUAACAAUACAGGACUCAAAUGAGGCUCUGUAAUUGGAAUGAGUACAAUCUAAAUCCUUUAACGAGUACCAAUUGGAGGGCAAGUCUGGUGCCAGCAGCCGCGGUAAUUCCAGCUCCAAUAGCGUAUAUUAAAUUUGUUGCAGUUAAAAAGCUCGUAGUUGGAUCUCAGGUGAGGUGUGUCGGUGUGUUCAAUGAGCAUCACCGUUCAUGUCUGCCUUUCUCAGUCGUUUGUCCUCUCAUGGUUCUCUUAACUGAGUGCUAUAAGAGGCUCGACACGUUUACCUUGAAAAAAUCAGAGUGCUCAAAGCAGGCCUUUGCGCUUGUAUGUUGUUGCAUGGAAUAAUGGAAUAGGACUUCGGUUCUAUUUUGUUGGUUUUCGGUGCCGAAGUAAUGAACAAUAGAGACAGACGGGGGCAUUUCUAUGGCUGUGAUAGAGGUGAAAUUCUGAGACCGCAGCCAGAGAAACUACUGCGAAAGCAUUUGCCAAGCAUGUCUUCAUUAAUCAAGAACGAAAGUCAGAGGUUCGAAGACGAUCAGAUACCGUCCUAGUUCUGACCUUAAACGAUGCCGUCCGAUAAUCAGGAGUGGUUAUAUUUUAUUAAUCCUCCUGGCUGUCCCUGGGAAACCUUAGAUAGGUUCUGGGGGGAAUAUGGUCGCAAGGUUGGAACUUAAAGGAAUUGACGGAAGGGCACCACCAGGAGUGGAGCCUGCGGCUUAAUUUGACUCAACACGGGGAAACUCACCCGGUCCGGACACUGUGAGGAUUGACAGAUUGAUAGCUCUUUCUUGAUUCAGUGGGUGGUGGUGCAUGGCCGUUCUUAGUUGGUGGAGUGAUUUGUCUGGUUAAUUCCGAUAACGAACGAGACUCUAUCCUGCUAAAUAGUUUGGUGGCAUCGGUCGCUUCGGUGACUAAAGCUGCUAAAACUUCUUAGAGGGAUUNGCGGUAUUUAANCCGCACGAAAGAGAGCAAUAACAGGUCUGUGAUGCCCUUAGAUGUCCGGGGCCGCACGCGCGCUACAUUGACAGUAUCAGAAAGUAAUACCACCUAGCUAGAGAUAGUUGGGAAAUCUUUGAAUUACUGUCUCCACAGGGAUUGAGGUUUGUAACUAUCCCUCAUGAACGAGGAAUUCCCAGUAGGCGUAAGUCAUCAGCUUACGUCGAUUACGUCCCUGCCCUUUGUACACACCGCCCGUCGCUACUACCGAUUGAGUGGAUUAGUGAGGCCCUCAGAUUGAGGCUUUGAUGGCGAAAGUCACUAAGGUCUCGAAAAGUGGGUCAAACUUGUUCAUUUAGAGGAAGUAAAAGUCGUAACAAGGUUUCCGUAGGUGAACCUGCAGAUGGAUNAAGGUGAACCUGCAGAUGGAUCAAGGUGAACCUGCANAUGGAUCAAGGUGAACCUGCA
rnacentral:rRNA from 1 species